rnacentral:rRNA from 1 species
CCUACGGGUGGCAGCAGUGGGGAAUAUUGGACAAUGGGCGAAAGCCUGAUCCAGCCAUGCCGCGUGUGUGAAGAAGGCCUUCGGGUUGUAAAGCACUUUCAGUGGGGAAGAAAGCCUUGGGGCUAAUACCCUCGAGGAAGGACAUCACCCACAGAAGAAGCACCGGCUAACUCCGUGCCAGCAGCCGCGGUAAUACGGAGGGUGCGAGCGUUAAUCGGAAUUACUGGGCGUAAAGCGCGCGUAGGCGGUCUGAUAAGCCGGUUGUGAAAGCCCCGGGCUCAACCUGGGAACGGCAUCCGGAACUGUCAGCCUAGAGUGCAGGAGAGGAAGGUAGAAUUCCCGGUGUAGCGGUGAAAUGCGUAGAGAUCGGGAGGAAUACCAGUGGCGAAGGCGGCCUUCUGGACUGACACUGACGCUGAGGUGCGAAAGCGUGGGUAGCAAACAGGAUUAGAUACCCUGGUAGUC